rnacentral:rRNA from 1 species
ACCAAGCCAUUCUUCACUGAUUUAGCUAACUAAGCAGGGUCAGCUCUGGUUAAUACUUGGAAGGGGGACCACCUUGGAAAUUCAGGCCUAUAGGUU